CAAACGAGUAAUGGAUCCCAGGCCAGUUUGCUUAAUCAUGAGGUCAGACAGCUAGCUUUGGAGUGCAUUAGAUCGGGGGCUAAGCCCACUGUCAUUGAAACGAAUGCAAAUGAGGCAUGGACAGCAGAGAUGGAUGAAGCGGUCAAAAAAUUUGAGGAAGAAUUCCGGAAGAAUGGAUUAUUAAGUUCUGAGAAAAGUGUUGGGCAGCAGCUGUUAUUAUUGCAGGCUGAGUUGAAGCAAAUGAAAGAUGAAAACAAAAAGAUUAUUGAAAACUACACAGCUGAAAGGACCCUGAGGAAGAAGUACUACAACAUGGUGGAGGACAU